rnacentral:tRNA from 1 species
GUGGGGCGUGGCUCAGCAGUAGAGCACUUGCCUAGCAUGCAUGAGGCCCUGGGUUCAAUCCCAGCACCUACA